CGACGUGAGGAACCUGCCUCAAAGAGGGGGACAACAGUUGGAAACGACUGCUAAUACCGCAUAAGCCCACAGCUCGGCAUCGAGCAGAGGGAAAAGGAGUGAUCCGCUUUGAGAUGGCCUCGCGUCCGAUUAGCUAGUUGGUGAGGUAAUGGCCCACCAAGGCGACGAUCGGUAGCCGGACUGAGAGGUUGAACGGCCACAUUGGGACUGAGACACGGCCCAG
rnacentral:rRNA from 1 species